CAUGUCUCCUCAAGUAACAUAGUAACACUUUUGAUUUGGUUUCAAGUAUGACAAUGACAAUGACUUUAGUACAGCUCAGCUUUCGGAAACUGUUUAAUGCCUUUACGUUUUGAGGUACUGCAUCGUUGCAGGGAAUUUUCUCCCCUCAAAAUAUGAACCACAAGCUCCAUCACGCACAAACAGCGUUCUGGAAGGAGAAUGAAGGGUUAUUUAGAGCUGUUUUGACAUUUGAGCCUGAGGAAUGGCUAAAGAUACAGUUAUCCUUCUGUGUAGGGAGGAAGCUUCAUAGAUGAGCACCAGGCAGCCUCCCAGCCCUGCACAGAGCCAACCCUGUUCCAGGGAGAGCAGGCAGAGAAGGAAAUCAAUAGUGAAAACAUGGCUGCAGGCUCACACAUUUUUAUCUGUCUUUGAACGAGUCAGCUUUAAUUUAGCUUUGAUCUCAAUUUGCUGCUUUUGGGAUGGCUUUGGCUGCACACUCAACAGGAACAGAGUCUUCAUAUAUCUUUUCCUUUAUUGAGAGGGUCUCUGAAACUCCAACAUAGAUUUUGAUAUUGUGAGUUUCCCCAGCUGAUGAAUGAAGAAGAGAACACAUCACAGGACAGCGGUGUAUGAAGGUACACAUCCACCAAUCACAAACAGCGCAGUUAACAUGGACAGGAUAUAAUGAAUGAGUUGAAAUGUAUUCACUGAAUGAUUUAUGAGCAAAGAGAAGAAAACGUAAGACAAUAUUAGGGAAUAGAAUGAAGAGACACUCAGAAAUAGUGAACGAAGGGGGCUCCCUUCCCUGUGAACUAACAGGUUGACAUGCAGCGCAGCUGGCCUUGUUCUCACUGCUCUGCCAACCAAGCCACAAAACAUCCUCAUUAGGGUAGUUGAACAAAUGGGGUAUUGAUAUUAUGAAAUCAAAUAAGGCCAUUCAAAGAUGGCUGCCUUUCGCUCGCCUGUUUCUAUACCAGAACUUUCAUAGGGGGGGUUUGUUUGGGAACUUGUUUCUCUAUUUUGGAACAGAGACAAAAGGGUAGGAGAAGGUCUCUGGGCAGAGAAAAGGACAGUGCUUUGCUAGGGAGAAAAGGAAAGGGUCUAAUCUAAUUUGGUUGAAGCAGGAAAUGUGUGUGUGUGUGUCUGUACAUGCCUGUGUGUGUGUGUGUGUGUGUGUGUGUUGUGUGUGUGCACGUGCUCGUGAGUGUGCGUGGCUGUGCUGCACAGUGUAAGCGGACUGUGGGAAUGGUACAGGAGGGCUGUGGCUCUGAAUAGAACCUCCAGAGCCAGAAGCAGUGGGGAGUCUCCCCAGAUGUACUCAUUCCAGGCCGGCCACUCAAAGAGGGAUUAGAAAAGAGAAGGCCUUCCUGAUUAGCGAUUCACACUCAAGUGCCCCCACGAGGACCCUGGGUAAUACUUCCAUCAAUUCUCUUCACCAAUGGAAGCCUUAAGUUGUUUACUCUCUUUCUAACAGUUUUUUCCUCCUUCAUUCGUCGCUGCAUCCAAACUGUAAUGUCAGUAAGUCACACCAUGUUCUGAGAAACGUUUUAUUAAAAUGCAAAAACAAGUCCAGCAAACACAGAUUCCCAUCGGAUCCAAAAUGACUUUCCCAGCAAAAAUGUGUUUUGCAAGAAGUUAACUGUAACUGUUUUGCUUCAGUGCUCUGCCUGGAGCUAGUGAACAGACUCAGAGGGGACGCCUUCUUCUCCUCAUAUGCGUGUCAAAUGACGACCACUUGAAAGGAGGAUGAUAGAUAUCAUCAUGACCAGCAAAACAAUCAUGAAAGAGAAGGAGAGACCAAGAAGAAAGGAGUGAGCAAGAACAAAGCCGCCGGAAUUACAACAAACCAGUAGACUGUGUAUUCUUAUUAAGCUAUGUGACAAUGCUAUCUUGUAUGUUUCAUAAAGAAAACGCAGAUGGAUAAUAAGGGGGGAUGUCUGCUUUAGAAAUAUGUCAGACUGUGUUGCCUGAACAUCAGAUGAUCAGUACACGGAGAACACCAUUGCUAGGGCCUUGGGAAUGCAGGGCUUUCGGUUCAAAUUAAAGUGUCAACUUUUUAGCUACUACGCAUGAGUUACAAAAGUCAAUGUGAAUAGGAAAUCUAGCAUGAUCUAGCAUGUUAGAUAUAAUCCGUGUAGAAGUCAUUUUGAUUUCGAUAGAAACAAAAUGUAAUUAUAUAUUUACAUGUGAUAAAAAGAGAAUUUGAAACACAGGAAAAUAUUAUAAGCAUAGUUUGACGACAAGAAACUGCUAACUUGCAGGUAUGUGGGAGAUGAGAAGGACAGUACUAUGUGUUCAUAAUAACCUGUAUUUAUGUUCCUGCCAUGUCCACACAUAGAGCACCAACAGCUGAAAUGGCACCACUGAAAUAUGCAGUGCUAAAACUUUUAGACACGCUGGUGCCAUGUUUCUCAACUUGCCCGUACACAUUUCUGAAAUAUUUCUAAAAGAACUUGUAACUGAUAAAAACUCUUGUAAAAGUGUACUAAAAGCUUCCCUGUUUACUUUUGAUCCUGAUUUUACCCUUGGUGAAAACCAUGGCUAGACUUGGGUAUAAAUCUCACAACCAAAGACUUUUACAAGGUAAUGUGAUUUAAGCUGUGAGGGAUCUCGUGUCCCAGAUAUGGCCAGGAGGCCCUCCACAUCCCCCUCCCAUAGUCCUGCCAUACCCCCCUGAUGCAGGACUACAUAUCACUGCAGUUGUAAACCAGGCAAAAAGGGG